UACGUAGGGUCCAAGCGUUAUCCGGAAUUACUGGGCGUAAAGCGUACGUAGGCGGCGCGUUAAGUGCAAUGCGAAAUCUUGUGGCUCAACCACAUAGACUGUAUUGCAUACUGGCGUGCUUGAGGAUGGCAGAGGCAAGUGGAAUUGGUAGUGUAGCAGUGAAAUGCGUAGAUAUUACCAGGAACACCAAUGGCGAAGGCAGCUUGCUGGGCCAUUUCUGACGCUAAGGUACGAAAGCGUGGGGAGCGAACAGG
rnacentral:rRNA from 1 species